UCCGGCUCCCAGGUCUCAGCCUCCUCUUCUCCCAACCACGGCCGCCGCUCUACUCCCUGAUCCCCUAUCCAACUAUCCGAGAAAGAGUGACCCAGACACCCAGCCUCCUGAUCUCGCGGCAUCACCACGAAGUAGCAUAGCACUCCUACAUAGCCACCCCCGCGACGGGGGAGACGGUGGGGGCAGCUAGAUCUUUUGCGUCUCUAUCUACCGACGGCCGCCGGAGCCAGCAACGCCGCACCGUGCGCGGGCUGGUAGACAGGCGCGCCGCCCGUGUCCUAGAUGCCUAGCUGUGUGUUGCCUGUGGGGAGCCACUUCGUCACCGAGGCCGGCCAACGCGCAUCGGCGCUCUGCGCGGCCAGCAGUUUGUGCGGGAUGACGAGAUCUGCUCCUUUCCUCCUUACAUGUUGACGAAUCGAAGUCCGCUGCGCCGGGUGUUUCCUCCAUCGACAUGCUUCUAUUCUUUUGCAAGGGCUCAAGACGUCGUGUGAUGCGGCAAGAUUGAUGUGAGGGUGAGCAUGAUCUGCUUGCUUGGGGAUUUUCUUGUAUAUAUUUUGGAUUGUUAUUUAUGUUCUCCUAGGCUGAGUUUCUAUCUUGGAUUUGUAGUUAAAUCCGUGUCCUAGUAGCUUCUAUUUUUUUUAAUAAGAACUCAAACUUUUCGAGUCCGUCUCCAACUACGUACCUAUCUUCCCUUCCAGCAAGGGCUCUAUAUGGGCUGGGCUUUUUUCAGUCAUUGCAGUGGGGUUUUGGCAGGCCAGUGUUAAACAGGCCGUGAUUAUGUAUGGAAUUCGUCGAAUAUGACCCGCUUGCUGCUGAUGGGUUUUGGAGGGGUUGGGCCGGAACUCGAAUAUUCCAGGCUCAAACCAUUCGCCCCGGCCCAGCUGCCUGCCCUCCUGCCUGUAACAAAUCUGCCUGCCCUCCUGCCUGUAACAAAUCUGCCUGCCCUCCUGCCUGUAACAAAUCGGAUCCGACGGUAGAGGCAAUCUAAACCCUAGGUAGAAAACAGAUCGCCCCCAUCCAUAGGCCUAUAUAAUAAAAACAGCGGCUGGCUAGAUCCAUAUCGCCGCCGCAACAAUCCGCACCAUCUCCGUCUCGCCGCCGCCGCACCAUCCAUCUCCGUCUCGCUGCCGCCGCACCAUCCAUCUCCGUCUCGCUGCCGCCGCAUCUCCGUCUCGCCGCCGCCAGAAGGAAAAGAUGGUCCACGUACGCAUCUUCUGCCAUGCCGACAUCCAAGCCCUGCAACGCUCCGAUCAGAAGCUCGUGUAUGUAGAUCUCGUCUCUCUGGAGUCCCUGCGCAUAGCGAGCGACUCGUGUGCACUCCUCGUCAACCUGAUUCAGAGGAGGGACUGGCAAUGCACCAAUCUGCUUGACCGGAGGUACUGGCACUGCCACCAGAUGGAUCUCCUCUCGCUGAUGGCAGGCGUGGCGCUGGAGCUCCACAAGAUCAAGCAUGAUCUGUAUCCCCUCCUCGUUUCUCAGGAGGCCAAGCUGGAAGGGGGCUUCCUGAAAGACCUCCGACUCCUGAAGAACUCAGCAGUUACGCUUGUACGUCUGGCGAAGGAAGCUAAGGAAAUAGUCGAAGGAUGUGUCGAUGAGGAGGAUGUGGAGGAUGUGCAUGUGUUUCGGCUCUUAGGCAAAGUUAAAGAGGUUGGCAAAGCGGUAGAGGAUACCGCUGAUCUGGUACUGAAAGGUUUCAAUUUUGGCAGGAACACUUGCUCGACUUGAUAGAGAAGCACCAUACUACAAGAAGGAUGGAUAUAAUGAUUUCAAUACAUUCUAUAUGCAGGGUGCAUUUGGUACUAAAGGUGGCUCAAGUGGUUCCCCUGUUGUUGACUGCCAAGGAAGGGCUGUUGCCCUAAAUGCUGGAAGCAAAUCUUCCAGUGCCUCUGCCUUCUUUCUUCCAUUAGAACGUGUUGCCAGAGCACUGAAUUUGAUACUUGAUAGUUGGGAUGCAUUUGGUACCAAGCUAGAAUCUGUUUAUAUUUCACGUGGUACACUUCAGGAAUGCCUGCUUGGAGGACGCAUAUGGCCCAAGUGAAUUGUGCUGGCAAGUCGAGAUUAGUAAAGCUAAACGCAACGAGGAGGAAAUGGCAAUUGCUCAGCUGGAUCAUUCACGCAUGCAUGCAUUUCGGCAGUAACUGCUCGUGAUCUGACCAAUCUCACGCCUGGUAUACCCGUAGCUUCCCUCCCAGGGGAGGGUGGCCACGUCUCCCCGAAUUCUCCGAUUGGAUCGGAUUUUUUUUGCAAAAAGGCUCUUUGAUUUUCUCGAAAUCGCAUUCCCGUCCGCAUAGGCCCCUCAUCUACUGUUCCUGUGCCUGGUAUUUUUCACGAAGGCCCCCGUAUUAUGAAAAUAUUACGUUCAAAGAAGAGAAAAUUCCGAUUUCGUGUUUUUUUGCGUUUACCCGCCCGCCUCCGCCCUUUUGCGAAAACACCCCGCCUCUCCCCACCAAAUAUAUACGGCGAUUGCAGCGAAAAAAAAAGGCCGGCAUCCUCUCCGUCUCGCUCGCUCUCUCUCCCUCUCGCUCGCUCUCUCCCUCCCCAGCGCAGCCACAGCGACGGCCGCCGCCGCACGAGCGGCCUGCAGGCGGAGCGCACCCCCGACGCAGCACGGCCAGCCCUAUUCCUCCUCGUCCUCCUCCUCAGCUUCCUCUUCCUCUUCUAUUCCGAGGUGUCCGCGCCCUCUGCAUGAAACCCUAGCAGCUUCGACGGGCGACUGCGCCCCCUCCACGCUAGAGGCCGGCAGCGGCGACGGCGGCUUGCUCCUAGCCUGUGCUCGCGGGACAACACCCAGCCAUCAGGUUCGCCCACCUUCUUUCUUCCCUGGCUGCUGUGCGAGGCCCAGGGGCUGUUUCCUCUACCCUCCCUAUUUCCUGCCCUUCGAGUGCUCGAUGGAAUGUCCAAGACGGCUCUACUUGGUAGUUUCCUUUAUUUUCCUGCCCUCUGUACAUACCGUAGCUUUUGUAGCAAGAUGGAUAUGGAAUUAGCUAAUCUGAUGGGUAAAACAUGAUAAUCUUUGAUUAAGUUGCUAUUCAUUCUUUUGUUACUUCCAGAUGCCUGACAAUUUAUUCAGUCAGAGUUUAAUUUUGUAUCUAUAGUUUCUGAAUAUUCAUGUGGUUUGAAGUCUAAAUAUUAAUGUUUUAGAUAAUAAGUCUCAAUAUCUAUGUGAGUUCAAUUUGUUUCAUGCACGUUCAAUGGUCUGAACGUAGUAGAGGUGCAUCCUUUUAUUUCCAUGGCCUCUUGAGGAUAUCUUAGAACAUGAUUGAUGAUUACUCGAUAUGCUUCCAUUGUAUUUACUAACAGAUAACGAUUUACAUAAACUCAACCCAGGAGGUUUACAUAUCUUGCUCAUUAGGACGUCGCCUAACACUCGAUGAGGCUAUCAUAACUUUAAACAUAAAGGCCUAAUGUCUUUGCAUUUGGUUAUGCUCUUCUCAUCUGUAUAUAUAAUAAUAGGUAAAGCGCAUUGUUCUAUUUAUAAAAUGGAAAAAGGACCUUAAAUCAUGAUUGUUUUGUGAAUUUUGGUUUCAGGCCUGCACAUAUUGGUUUAGGUUGAUCAUGAUAAUCUUAUUUUCGAACCUAAACUGAAGUACAAUGAUACAUUGAAACAAUGAAACCUCAAGUUUGGAUUUGUGCUCCGGUACUACAGUCCAUUCAGACCAUUCAAGUUCAAAGAAAGGUUUCUUCUUUACCAUUUGGGUAUGAUGUGUUUGAUAGAACGCCCAUAACAGCAAGGUAUGUACAUGGAAAUUAUUGAAGUGGAUACAUCCCUUUAGAAUUUGGCGAUCUGGUGGAACUCGAGGCAUUGUAAGUACAGAUUUUAAAAGGAAAUUUGUAAAUCUCGAUUGACUAUUGAUCAGUUUUUCAA